CUCGUAGGCGGUUUGACAAGUCGGUCGUGAAAGCCCGGGGCUCAACCCCGGGAUGCCGGUCGAUACUGUCAUGACUAGGGUCCGGUAGAGGUGAGUGGAAUUCUCGGUGUAGCGGUGGAAUGCGCAGAUAUCGAGAGGAACACCAGUAGCGAAGGCGGCUCACUGGGCCGGUACCGACGCUGAGGAGCGAAAGCGUGGGGAGCAAAC
rnacentral:rRNA from 1 species